UGAGGUCAGAAUAGCACACUCGGAGCUCUCAUGGUGCAGUCAGUUAGCGCACGGUACUCAUAACAGAACGGCACAUGUUAGAAACAGAAUCAUGAAUGAAAUGGGGUCAGCACUCUGUGUCCUCAUGCCAUCAGAAAGUGCUUCCCCAGGCAAACAGGCAGAUCCUCGGCAUGCUGCCCAGAGAAAUUCUAGCCAAAUUGAAGAGAGGUAUAACUGACCCAUGGAUCCAAGAGAUAAGAAUGUUACAAAGAAGAGGCCAAGUUCAUGGCCUAACUAUGGAAAACAGACCAUUCCAGAACAAGAGCCCUCAGCUCCAGAAGAGCUGAACACACAACGGACCAGCGUCCAUGGACUGUCAUAGAUGACCUGACCCCAGAAUAGUUUCCAGCUUCGUCAUUUUCUGCUGCCACAACAGCUGCUGUUCCAGUGCCUGGGAGCCAGCGGCCCCUCUCAGGUCUUUACCUUAAUAAAGCUGUCCUUGCAAGUCUU
rnacentral:lncRNA from 1 species